CAGUCGCCACGGUAAUACGUAGGGCGCAAGCGUUAAUCGGAAUUACUGGGCGUAAAGCGUGCGCAGGCGGUUAUAUAAGACAGAUGUGAAAUCCCCGGGCUCAACCUGGGAACUGCAUUUGUGACUGUAUAGCUAGAGUACGGCAGAGGGGGAUGGAAUUCCGCGUGUAGCAGUGAAAUGCGUAGAUAUGCGGAGGAACACCGAUGGCGAAGGCAAUCCCCUGGGCCUGUACUGACGCUCAUGCACGAAAGCGUGGGGAGCAAACAGGAUUAGAUACCCCCGUAGUCCCUGUCUCUUAUAC
rnacentral:rRNA from 1 species